GCAAACAUGAUCAUCACCACGAGGAUACGCGUAAUUAAAGUUUCCAAAUUUAGCUGCAGACUUCACAUCUCAUCUGCUCCGUCAUUAACAUCAAGAUGAACCUGACGGGGCUCGGAGGAGGAAGUGGGUCACUGCAGGAGGGGAGUAAAAACUAAAGAUUCACCAGGACGUCUUCAGCUCCCGGUCACAGGAAAGUCUCACGGUUUUGACUAUUGAUUCAUGUGAACAUUUACAGAUGAGAUGCUGCAGAUGUUUGAGGUUUAGCUCAUCUUUCUUUGCCAGGUUUGAUUCCAGGACCUCGAAUCAGGAUGUCUGAGUACAGAUCUGGUACAAGGCUGAGAGGAAAAAUAUGCUUUAAAUUCCACCUCUCCUACAAUAUAUGGAUAUAAAAGUGUUAUAAUAAUCAUAACUAAACUCACAAAUCAGCAUUAUUAUGAUUAUUAUGCAUUAUUAUUAUUAUCGGCAGGUCAUUGAUCAGUUUGGGCACCUUAACAUAAAUUCUCCCUCAUUUAUUCUUCUUGUUCAUUUCCCAGACGUUCAGUCCAACAACCGUCUGGUCCUGGAGCUGCUCAUCUGAUCAUGUUCACACACUUUUUGAAGUGAUCCCUCAAGUGUCGUUAUCAAACACCAUCAGCUCUGACUCAGGAGAGAGCUGUGAGCUCACCGCUGGUCCCUGUGCUCCGGGCAGGCCCGGUACUCCCAUGUCGCCCUGCAUGCCGCGAGGCCCCUGCUGGCCCUCUUUGCCCUCUUUGCCCGGCUGUCCUCGGCUGCCCUCGGGUCCUUUAUUUCCCGUCUCGCCUGGUGGACCUGUCUGCGAUGAACAGCAGCAGAACCUGCAGGUCCCUGAAGAUAAAGACACAUGACGGGUUGUCGGCUCUUUGUUUGCUCUCCGGUCUCGACACUGUGAUCAGUAACAGAGUUGAACUAGCAGCUGAAACGUACCUGCUCUCCUUUCGGACCAUCCAGA